rnacentral:sRNA from 1 species
ACCCUUUUCUUGAUGAACUUGAGGGCCCGUUUCUCCUUGGAGACCUUCAGUGACUCCAUGGCGCGCAGCUCGUACGAAGCGAAGCCACACACCUCCCGGAUCAUGUCCCGCACAAACUUGGAACAGAAAUGAAAAAAAGUCGCUGGCAGAGUAGAAGAAGACAUGGGAGAAGAAGCCACCAGCAGAACCCUUGGUUCAGACUCCGUGAUUCUGAAGACAGGUCUGACUCCCGGGCAGCACAGCCCGCUCACGAUUCCAGCCACGGUGAUGACGAGUCUCCGUCAACCUCGUCUGGCACAGCUGGGACCUCCUCUGUGCCAGAGCUACCUGGGUUUUACUUUGACCCUGAAAAGAAACGCUACUUCCGCUUGCUCCCUGGACAUAACAACUGCAACCCCCUGACGAAAGAGAGCAUCCGGCAGAAGGAGAUGGAGAGCAAGAGACUGCGGCUGCUCCAGGAAGAAGACAGACGGAAAAAGAUUGCCAGGAUGGGAUUUAAUGCAUCUUCCAUGCUACGAAAAAGCCAGCUGGGUUUUCUCAACGUCACCAAUUACUGCCA